rnacentral:rRNA from 1 species
UACGUAGGGUGCAAGCGUUGUCCGGAAUUAUUGGGCGUAAAGAGCUCGUAGGCGGUUUGUCGCGUCUGCUGUGAAAACCGGAGGCUCAACCUCCGGCCUGCAGUGGGUACGGGCAGACUAGAGUGCGGUAGGGGAGAUUGGAAUUCCUGGUGUAGCGGUGGAAUGCGCAGAUAUCAGGAGGAACACCGAUGGCGAAGGCAGAUCUCUGGGCCGUAACUGACGCUGAGGAGCGAAAGUGUGGGGAGCGAACAGG